rnacentral:sRNA from 1 species
AAUAAAAACGAAAACAGCGAGUUUAAUGCGUGGUUUGAUAGAACCGGUUAUCUGAAAUCAAACUAUAACCGUAAAUGGUGACAAGAAACCCACAGGGGGAUUUAACGGACGUUAAAAGUAGAAGAAAGGUUGACGUUGCAAACAAAAGUUUCAACCUCAAACGACACUCUUUAGCUGAUGCGUUGACCAUUGUACACAUCGGCAAAUCAGAGGUCCUCAAUGAUUAUGGACCGUCGGAUCACUAAGAUAACUCAUUCUGGUUUUUUUUUGUUAACUGUAGUUUCUUAAGCGAGAGCCGUCCGAAUUGGCCCAUAAUUUAAAGUCCAAAGGCCGAGAUAUAAUCAAUCAGUCGAGGUAUUUGGGUAAGAAGAUAUAGAAAAUUACAAUGCGUUUUAGUAAAAGAAAAGAUUACACAAAAACGUAAACAACCAGACAAACAAGAAGAUGAAGCAAAUGGGGAACUAGAAAAGUAGAGAUCUAGAAGAAGUUAAGAAUCCAAAAGUAUUACA